rnacentral:tRNA from 1 species
GCCUUCGUAGCUCAGCUUGGAUAGAGCACCUGCCUUCUAAGCAGGGGGUCGCGGGUUCGAAUCCCGUCGGGGGCA